rnacentral:lncRNA from 1 species
UGUGCAUGAGAUACCGAAAAGCUGAAAUCUGGGCAGUUAGCUUCUAAUUAAUCUGAUGAGUAUCAACAAAACUAAAUCAAAGGCAAGAAACAACCUUGAAUUGAUGGUGGCACUAGGAGCAACAGGUGCCAAUAUCAAAUGUUUCACCAAAUUUUAGGGUAACAAAUAUAUGAAAAGGAGAAGAUGAAAAAAUUAGCGAGAG